UAUGCAAUAACUUGCGAAUGUUUUGAAAACUAAUUUUCAUAAAAUAUGCUUAUUACUUAUAUUGUGUUAUUUCACUGUGUAGAAAGAACAGGAUAAAGCUAUUAACACUGAAGAGGAAAUACCGGUUCAUCUCCGUAAUGCUCCCUCAACUAAGGCAUCCGAGAAAGAACAGGAUAAAGCUAUUAAUACUGAAAAGGAAAUGCUGGUUCAGGUCCGUAAUGCUCCCUCAACUAAGGCAUCCGAGAAUGAAAAAGGUAAAUCUAUUGUUACUGGCACUGCAGAGGAAAGACCGGUGCAUAAACUGAAAAGGCCGGGAAGUGUUUCGCAUUUGUGGGUAAAGAAUUAUUUUUCGUUCCCUUCGACUGCUUAUCGGAAGAAUGAGAAAUACUAAUUCCAACAUACAAGGAAGAACUAUGGGGUCUAUUGGUUUCUGUUCCUUUAAUUUAUCUUAUUGGCGUUCAAUCUCUAAGGCGGGUUUCCGCUGAGAACGGAAUAUUGUUUGUGGUUCGCUAUCAGUACUUGUUUUAGAGAGACAUAAACUCAAUUUCAGGGUCUUUUCCUAGCCCUCAUUAUAUUUUAUGGUUUCUGCAAUAUGUUUUUCUCCUAGUACCUUUAUGUUUGGUUUUGAAUUGGAAUUAUUCUGUUCAGUAUCAUUGAGUUGGAAUUAAAAUAUUUUGUGUUUUUUGGUGGACUACUACUACUCGUCUUUUUCUCUGUUUAAGAUUGACUUUCAGUUUGGUUGUAGUGUGUAUCUGUCGGCAUAGUGGAACGUGUAACCCCCCCCCCUGCUAUUUCACUCAACUACGUUUGUUCCUUUAAUUCAUAGCUUAAAAGAACGCAGCCGCGAGGUCUUGUUCUGACAAAGGUCAAUUUAGACUUUGGGUAUAUGUUCGUAGAUGACCUAACUCGUGCUGUGAAUCGGUUUUGAAUUUAUCCCAACUUGAAUUCCUCUCCAAUGUUAUCAAAACCCGUUGCCUUUUACUGAAAUUUUGUGUGAUAGUUUUUUCCACUAUUAUAGCGAUUAUGCAACCUAAAUUCCCAAGAGAAUGAUAUUCAAAAAGUUGAGGAACGAAGUAACCUCAUCCAAUAGCUUUAUUGAAAAAAACCCAACUCAUCCUGCUACUCCCCUUCUAUUCUAUGAAAUUUCCUUUCUAUACAAACAAGUUAUCUAUCCACUUUCUAUCCUUACAUUUUAUACCUCUGCUCAUAAAUCUGCCUUUACUCUCCUCCCUGAUCUUCUUCAUAAUUUCCAUCGGUCUGACUAUUGCUUUGUUCCACAAUGCUCCAUUUUGUGCUUGCCAAAUAUGAUAUAUUAGGGCUGCUAUUAUUGCUCGGAUAAGUGCUCUGCUGAUCUUCCCUGUGGCUUUCCUUGCUAGUCUCCUCCAUAUUAGCCUCCAGGUUAGUUCUUUGUACCGCCAUUAAGCAUUUCAUUGAAUACUCAUAUUCAAAGAAGAGAUGUUCUGGUUUGCACCCACACAAUAAGCAUUCUGUUUCCUCACAUAUUCCCAUCUUUGCAUAGUCAGCCAGCAUAUAAAACUACGUUCAUUGUAUUCCAUGUAUCUCUCCACCAUGGCCAUUGGUUUCCAUUUACUGACAACCAUCAAUAGCCACUUUGAAUUGCAUAUUCCCCAUUUUUUUCCUACAUAGCCUGCUGUAAAUUUAUCUUUGAUGCUAUAAAUUAUCCUCCAGUAUUAGCAACUAUUCACACUCGGUUUUUAUUGCCACCAAUCUGCCCCUUUUAUAUAUAUAUAUAUAUAUAUAUUUCGUGCACCCAUUUGACCCAACGAUUAUCAGCUUUGCUUGUUACAUUCCACACAUUUAGCAAUAGAAGCCUCAUUCCAAGCCUCCUCUUUUUUGCUACAAGUGGUGCUUUAGAUGCUCAAAACGAAAUUCCUACAAACUGCCGUUAUACUCUUCAUGACCUCCUUAGGUAGUAGGAAAAUUGUUGACAUGUAUAUGCAUUAGCACUUGUAUUCUUCCGGCAUAUGAUAGGUUACGUGUUCCCCAUGUUCUGACUCUAUUUGUCAAUUUAUCUACCAACAUUUCACAGUCCACUACUGAAAUAUUUUUAGCUUAUAUGGGAAAUUUAAUCCAUGUAACAUCUCUUCAAUAAAUCCCCAUUCUACAUUGUCAUACGCUUUUCUCAAAUCAAUUUUCACCAAACAACUUUUGGUGGUUUUCUUCCUGUUGUACAAUCGCACAAAAUCUUGACAGAUGAGUGUGUUUUGUACAAUGGUUCUUCCACGCCCUUUGAUUAUCUGAUAUGAUGGUUGGGAGUACCUAUUUCAGUCUAUUACACAACAUUUUCUAUAUCACUUUGUAUAUAGUAUUACAACAUGCAAUGGGCAUGUAAUCUGUGACAUUUCCUGCAUGUGUUCCUUUUGGUAUUAGAGUGAUCAUUUACUCCUCUUAGCAUUUCUCCAUUCCCCAACAAUCCUUGAAAAAUUUGCUCUCAUAUCCAUCAGGUCGCCCAUAAAGCUUGUUUCACCUCUGCCUUUGUAAAUGCCUCUGUUAUUUAAUUUUCUAAUACAAAUACAGCAUCGAUAUAGGGUUCUUUGUCCUAACCUGUGAACUUGAUUGUAUGUUUAUUUUAGUAGCUUAAAGGCAAAGAAUAGAGGCGAAUCCAUUUCAGCGAUCAUGAUAUCAUUUCAUCACAUUACAAGGAAGCC